CCUACGGGAGGCAGCAGUGAGGAAUAUUGGUCAAUGGGCGCGAGCCUGAACCAGCCAAGUCGCGUGAGGGAAGACGGCCCUACGGGUUGUAAACCUCUUUUGCCGGGGAGCAACGGGCCCCACGUGUGGCGCCACUGAUAGUACCCGGGGAAAAAGCAUCGGCUAACUCCGUGCCAGCAGCCGCGGUAAUACGGAGGAUGCGAGGGUUAUCCGGAUUUAUUGGGUUUAAGGGGUGCGUAGGCGGAUGGUUAGGUCGGUGGUCAAAUUUAGGGGCGCAACCCCUCCUCGCCAUGGAAACUGGCGUGCUUGAGUGGAAGGGAAGCAUGCGGAAUGCGUGGUGUAGCGGUGAAAUGCAUAGAUAUCACGCAGAACCCCGAUUGCGAAGGCAGCAUGCCGGCUUCCUACUGACGCUGAUGCUCGAAAGCGUGGGGAUCGAACAGGAUUAGAUACCCCGGUAGUC
rnacentral:rRNA from 1 species